GAUUUCUUCAGUGUUGGGUCCGGCCAGGCAAGUGCUGACCUUCAGCUGUGUUUCUGCUGCCCACGGGGCACACGCAUGGACAGAUAAUUCAGGCUCUGAGCCGCAGCUUUAGGGAGCCCCCAGGGACACACCCUGUCAGCGAAGGACACACCCCAGGGACACACCCUGUCGCUGGGAGUCAGCGAAAGCCACUGGGGCCCCCCAAGCCAACGCCGAGCUUCACGCUGGCCUGGAGACGGGGACGCCGACCACAGCUGGCGUCGGGUGGCUGCUCGUCCCCGCACAGGAAGCGCUCCCGGUCCUGCUCCUUGAGACACAGCACGCGCCCCUCUGAGACCAGAGGUCGCCUGGCUUCAGCCACGGGUCAGAAACGGGCUACGGUGCAGGCCCGAGAGAAAACCCCCUCCCUCGGGCCCAUCAGCAGAGCAAGGCUCGAGGUCAGGCGGCUUCAACAACACCAGCGGUGAGUGA